ensembl:lncRNA
UGCCUGGCGAGGUUACCGUGGCAACAGGCAAACAUCCCUCUCUGCUGACUGACGGCGGUUUGGGUGCGACUCGCUGUGUUUGUUCCAGCGUGUUGGAGAGCAGCAGGAAUCUUCAGCAGACAGUGUGGAUGCGUUGUGACCCUCAGAUGGCAGAUCCAGACUCUCCGUCUCCAGCUGAGGUUCCACAGGGAGGACAGGCGUCCAUGGUUCCCCCAGACAGCAGCUGUGAUGCCAGACCGAGCGGCUCCGCUCCGUCCCCGGAUACAGAGCUCCAGGCAGGAGGGCAGGGACCGAGCUGUGCCCCAGAACGGACCCUCAGUCCUGGGCUGAAGAGCCAGACUGGUCCUGGAGGGGAGGAAGAUGUGGCAGCUGGACCACACCAGCCAAUAGGAGGCCAGAGCCUGGUGGCCGUUAGUCACAUGACUGCUGCUGCUUCCUGUCCGACCAUGGCCUCCUCAGUGAGGAAACAGAAACAGCCACAGGAGGCGCUGUGCUGCUCUGAUGUGGCCGGUAGAAGGACGCUGCUGCUGUCCAAUGAGGCGAGGAGACAGAUAGCCAAGCAGGCCAGAGCCAUGAAGGAGGAGAGACGAGCAGCACUGGACGGCCGGCACCAAUACCUGAUCGGCAGACUGGUGGACGCUGGGACGCUGCAGCAGCUGGAGGUGGAGGACGCCCUCAUCUGUGACGACAAGUUCGGUCUGAUCGAUGAUUUCUUUGCUGCGAAUGGAUCAAAGAAGCUGAUUUUCUUCUAUCAGAGCGUGAAGCAGAAUCUGGCCUCCUCUCAUCCCUCCAUCAUGGAAUCAACCUCGGCU